AUUUACAAAACCCAAAUUCUCCACUUAUCUCUCAAAUUAAUAUUCUAAAGCCCCAAAACAAUUUAAGUGGAUUGGGCUCGGAUUUAUUUUGCAUAGCCUAUUGCUAAUUAUAUUCAUGGCCCAAAACCAAUUAAUUCAUUAGCCCAAGUAAAAUAAGCCCAAUUAAAACCCUAUGUAAAAAAAACUAAGUCUUCUUCCUCCCCCAUUCAUCAAUCUCACGACAGCAGCCCCUCUCCCUCCCCUCUCUCCCCCGUCGCCGCCGAUCCACCAGGGGCCGCCGGAGCGGCGGCGCUCCUUUCUCCCUCUCUUCUCCCCCUUCUCUCCCUCUCUCAGCCUCACGCCGUCGCGCCGCCAUCCCCCCCUCCGUCUUUCCAGAUUCGCCGCCGCCGUGCAUGCGCAGGCGGCGGCUUCGUCGUCCUUCUCCCGGCAGACCGGCCGUCUCCGGACAGCAGCGGAUCGGUGCCCUCUCUCCGUCGGUUCCUCUCUCUCUCUCUCGGCGACCAGCGCCGCCGCUCACUGUCGUCCGAUGUUCGGAGUGGCGAUUGCUGCUGUUCCGCAGUGACCGUGCAGCGAUUGCUGCUCCGCAGCCCGUCAGUCUCAACCUAAAGCUAAGUUCUCCUUCCCCCUUCCCCUUCUACUCAAUUAUUUGAGUUAUUACUGUAACUACGAGUGCAUCUAAGUUUCUAAGUUGAAAGUCCUGAAUAUUUGUGAUGUUUACACCUUGAUCUUGUAGGGAUUGAUUAUUGCUUUUGAUACUUGGGUGCUCAAAGUUUAGGGAUCGUACUGCUUAAUUCUAGCAGCCUAUAUUGCCAUGAAAAACUCAGUUUAAGCUCGUGGCUUUGAUGUAGGAAAAUAAAUAACAUCCAUAGUCUUCCGUGAUGAUGUACCGGACUUUCUUGGAGUGCGAGCACGACCGUUGAACUGGCUGCGUAAACUUUUCUCUAAUUGUAAUAGAUAAGGAUUUGAUAAAUUUGUAUAAUAGUAAUUUAGCGGACUUCGGAGAUAUGCUGGACAUUAUAACUUUUUAUUUAGUGUUACUUUUUUUUUUUUA